rnacentral:rRNA from 1 species
AACGCGAAGAACCUUACCUGGUCUUGACAUCCACAGAACUUUCCAGAGAUGGAUUGGUGCCUUCGGGAACUGUGAGACAGGUGCUGCAUGGCUGUCGUCAGCUCGUGUUGUGAAAUGUUGGGUUAAGUCCCGCAACGAGCGCAACCCUUAUCUUUUGUUGCCAGCGGUCCGGCCGGGAACUCAAAGGAGACUGCCAGUGAUAAACUGGAGGAAGGUGGGGAUGACGUCAAGUCAUCAUGGCCCUUACGACCAGGGCUACACACGUGCUACAAUGGCGCAUACAAAGAGAAGCGACCUCGCGAGAGCAAGCGGACCUCAUAAAGUGCGUCGUAGUCCGGAUUGGAGUCUGCAACUCGACUCCAAGAAGUCGGAAUCGCUAGUAAUCGUGGAUCAGAAUGCCACGGUGAAUACGUUCCCGGGUCUUGUACACACGC